UACGUAGGGGGCAAGCGUUGUCCGGAUUUAUUGGGCGUAAAGCGCACGCAGGCGGUCUCUUAAGUUUCGAGUGACAGGUCAGGGCUUAACCCUGGCAGGCCUUGGAAAACUGGGGGACUUGAGGGCUUCAGAGGGACGCGGAAUCCAGGUGGAGCGGUGAAAUGCGCAGAUAUCAGGAGGAACACCGGUGGCGAAGGCGGAUCUCUGGGCCUUACCUGACGCUGGAGGCGCGAAAGCUAGGGGAGCGAACAGG
rnacentral:rRNA from 1 species